rnacentral:rRNA from 1 species
UCGAGAAUCUUUCACAAUGGGGGCAACCCUGAUGGAGCGACGCCGCGUGGAGGUUAAGGUCUUCGGAUUGUAAACUCCUGUCAUGCGAGAACAAAGCCCUCACGGGUGUGAUAGUAUCGCAAGAGGAAGAGACGGCUAACUCCGUGCCAGCAGCCGCGGUAAUACGGAGACUGCGAGCGUUACUCGGAUUUACUGGGCGUAAAGGGUGCGCAGGCGGUUAAUUGUGUCAGGUGUGAAAUCCCGGAGCUCAACUCCGGAACUGCGCCUGAAACUGAUUGACUAGAGGCUCGGAAAGGUAAGCGGAAUUCCAGGUGUAGCGGUGAAAUGCGUAGAUAUCUGGAGGAACACCAAAGGCGAAGGCAGCUUACUAGACGAGAUCUGACGCUCAGGCACGAAAGCGUGGGGAGCAAAAAGGAUUAGAUACCCUUGUAGUCCCUGAGCGGGCUGGCAAGGCGCAU